rnacentral:rRNA from 1 species
AUGGGGCAAUUCCAUGGCCAAAAAAAGGGUUCUACUAUAAUCCUUGAAGCGGUGGCCGAUCAGGAGACUUGGAUUUGGCAUGCAUUCUUUGGAAUGCCUGGAUCUUUGAAUGACAUAAAUGUUGUCAACCGGUCAUCACUGAUGAAUAAGAUUGCAAACAGUGAGUUGCCACCUGUGCAGUUUGUAGCAAAUGGUCGUACGUACAAUUAUGGCUAUUAUCUAGCGGAUGACAUCUAUCCAAAGUGGCAAACCUUCGUGAAGCCGUUGAAAAAGCCGGAAGGUAAGAAAUAUCUUGAUUUCCACAAUGCUCAGGCGGCGGCUAGAAAAGAUGUGGAGAGAGCAUUUGGGAUUUUGCAAGCACAAUUUGCUAUUGUAAGAGGACCGGCUAGAUUUUGGGAUCAACAAAUGCUUUGGUACAUCAUGCACGCUUGUGUGAUCAUGCACAACAUGAUCAUCGAGAAUGAGCGUGGCCAAGAUUUAGACUACUCACAGAAUGAACUCCUGGGACAUCCCGUGCGAGUGCGACGGAGGGCUGAAAUGGUAGCCCAUUUUAUUGCCUCCUAUCAUGCUAUUCGGCGUCCCGCAACGCACAAUGAACUUCAGAAUGAUCUGAUUGAAGAGUGGUGGGCAUGGUAUGGACGACAAAGA